UUGAGCUGCUUUCCUCUGCCAUGAUGUUCUACCUCAUUCUGGGCCCAGAGCAACGGAGUUGGCUAUCUAUGGACUGAGACCUCUGAAACCAUGAGCUCCAAAUCAAAGUUUCCUUCUUAAAAACUGUGCUUGUGAGGUCUUUUGGUCACCGUGGAGAAAAAGCUGAGUAACAGAGGUAGAAUAAUAUCUCCUUCUCUAACUAAAUUCCACAAAAGGAUCCCUGAACCUCGGCGCAGUGCAAAUCCAAUGUGAACAGCCGAAUGGGCUGUGGAUUUUCUGAUGAUGGAUAAACGGUGACACAGGAAUUUGAGAUCCUGGUUCCCAGCAAGAGUCUCAGAGCAGCCUGCUUGUCAUGGCACAUGCCUGUUACCCUUCUGCUUCUACUAUGAGGCCCUCAUUAAGAAGCAUUCUGGUGCCAUGCUCCUAGACUUUAGAACUAUGAGGUAAGUAAACUUUCUUUUUUCUUUAUAAAUUACCCAGCCUUUGGUAUUUUGUUAUCGCAAUAAGGAACAGACUAAAACGUUAAGCCUUUGUGUGAUUCAACCAGUGAUUCUGUUUCUCUGAUGACUUAUAAGAAACAAGGAACAAAGUGGGAGAUUAGAACAAUGAGAUACUUCAACAGAUGAAUGGAUAAAGAAAAUGUGGUACAUAUACACAGUGGGAUAUUACUCAGCCUUAAAGAAGAAUGAAAUUAUGGUAUUUGCAGGUAAAUGGACAGAGCUGAAGAAUAUCUUGGUAAGCGAAAUAAGUCCAACUCAAAAAAACCAAAGGCCAAAUGUUUUCUUUGAUAGGCAGAUACUAAUCCAUAAUGGGAGU